rnacentral:rRNA from 1 species
CGAUGCGAUCAUACCAGCACUAAAGCACCGGAUCCCAUCAGAACUCCGAAGUUAAGCAUGCUUGGGCGAGAGUAGUACUAGGAUGGGUGACCUCCUGGGAAGUCCUCGUGUUGCAUUCC